AGGAUAAACGCUGGCGGCGUGCCUAACACAUGCAAGUCGAACGCUCUUGGCGACAAGAGAGUGGCGGACGGGUGAGGAACACGUGGGUGAUCUACCUUGGGGUGAGGAAUACCGGCGAGAAAUCGCCGACAAGACCGCAUACGCUCAGCAAUGAGCAAAGUCGUAAGACGCCACAAGAUGAGCCUGCGGCCGAUUAGCUAGCUGGUGGGGUAAAGGCCUACCAGGGCGACGAUCGGUAGCUGGUCUGAGAGGAUGAUCAGCCACACUGGGACUGAGACACGGCCCAGACUCCUACGGGAGGCAGCAGUGGGGAAUAUUGGACAAUGGGCGCAAGCCUGAUCCAGCAAUGCCGCGUGAGUGAUGAAGGCCUUAGGGUUGUAAAGCUCUUUCGCACGCGACGAUGAUGACGGUAGCGUGAGAAGACGCCCCGGCUAACUCGUGCCAGCAGCCGC
rnacentral:rRNA from 1 species